GCAUGCCUUAUAUUAUGGAACAUCUAAUAAAAGCGGUUGUGUCUUAUAUUAUGGAAUGGAGGGAGUAUUUUUUUUUUAAAAAAAGAGAGAUUUAGAGUAAGAGUCGUCUCUUCAAACAUUUUUGAGAAAAAAAAUAUGAGUGUAUUCGGGAUUGAACACGAGACUUAGUUGAAACUAUAUAUCUCUUCUCACUGCACUGUCAAGUGCUCUUAACUUCAAUUUCAAGCAAAGUUAUUUGUCAUCAUGAACGUAUAUAAACUACGAGAACAUAUCCGGUGAAAACGAGUUAAGUGUUCGAAACUCAUGAAAAUAAUAUCUAAAAGUUUUGUAAAUUCAUGAAAAAAUACUAGAGAUAGGUGUAGAUAUGAAAUACAUUCUCACCAAAUUUCAACUCUAAACUCUACUUCAUUAGAGAAAAAAAAGAAACAAAUUUUAGGUGAAUAGUGUCAUGUUAUUAUUCACUUAAAAUUUGUCUUUUUGUUACUCCUAAACAAAGUUAAGUUUGAAGUUGAGAUUUGGUGAGAAUGUAUUUCAUAUCUACACCUAGAUCUAGUAUUUUUUUUCAUGAAUUUAUGAAACUUUUAAGUAUGAUUUUUACCGGUUUCCAAUACUUAGCUCGUUUUCACCGGAUGUCCCCGAAUAACUACAACUAGUAUUUAAUAUCUAUCCAAUAAAUCACUAACUCAUUUAUCAUUUUUACAUUCUUUCAUUCUUCAUUCAUCACUCAACACUUUUAGAUUAUUUGUGUGAAACCCAACGCUUAAAAUUGUCUUCGGGGAGCGCUACAAAUCGGACGUCCGAUAUUAUGCAAAACAUCGGAUGUUGUUGCACAAUAUUGUUACGAAAUGUUUCACAUGUUACACUACUUGAUGAACAAAAUGUUUCAAAUGUUUCAUCAAUCAGGAAAAAAAUGUGUCAUUUCAUAAAUGAAAAUAUUUCUGUUCUCAAACAGAAAUAUUUCGGCAAAUAGAAACAAUGAAACCCAAUUGACUCGCGCCGUGAAACAUUUUAGUGUAGCGUUUGAAACUUUAGGUUUCAUGUAAUGCCCCGAGUUUCAAAAUAGUAUAUUUCGGGGAAUAUUAGCAUAAACGCGCAAAAGUUUAAUUUUUAAACCGUUGUUCGAAUAGGCGAUCAGGAACCGUGGAUGCGUAGAGCUCGCCGAGUAGUGCAAAAUAGACUAUGAGUUUAUAAUAAUCGGAGUCCGAACGAAGUACUGGUGAUUAAAUUAAUUUGGGCCAUUCGAUCUUCAUCAGGAUAUCUAUUUAACCAACUGAAAAAAAAAGAAAAAAAGGAGAAAAGGGGAAGAGAUCGAUAACCCUGCAGCCGCUACAAACCCUAGCCGCCAUCACCCCAAUCGCUGCUGCGCCGUCGCCACAGGUUUAGCCAUCGCCGUCCAGCGCCACUCCUGCUCGACUCCUUGGUGACGUUUCUGUUUCUGUUAACGUUCCCCGCUGCUGCUACUGAUGCUGGUCUGUUGCUGUGCUUCUGGAACGAACAGAGAACAGGAGUUUCAGGAAGCGGGGAAAGCAGGAGGAGAAAAGAAGGAAAAAGGGAAGAGAGGCAAAAGUUGGGGAUUUUCUGGGUUUUCACAAAUUGAUCUCAAAUUCGAUUUCUCCUCUGUAAGGGUACCUAAUGAUAUUGAUCGGCACGGGACGGGAGUAGCACCCUUGAACUACACAUUAUUAUUGCACACUAUUAAAAUUUAGUUUUAGAUUAUGUUUCUACUUAGAUAAGUUUUGCGUAGAACUUAUGAAGGUCAUUUAAAGUUCUGGUCCUUAUUUUUACGUGGAAUUUGUAGAGCUAGGAUGGGUUGGAUUGUGUGGUUUUUAUCGUUAUUGAGUUAUUUUAUAACUACCUGUCGUGGAUGUCUGUAUUUUUAGGUGACUCUGCUGAAAUUUCUAAUAAUUUUGGGA